rnacentral:rRNA from 1 species
ACGCUCGACACCUACGGGAGGCAGCAGUAGGGAAUCUUCCACAAUGGACGCAAGUCUGAUGGAGCAACGCCGCGUGAGUGAAGAAGGUCUUCGGAUCGUAAAACCCUGUUGUUAGAGAAGAACACGAGUGAGAGUAACUGUUCAUUCGAUGACGGUAUCUAACCAGCAAGUCACGGCUAACUACGUGCCGGCAGCCGCGGUAAUCUGAGCGGGCUGGCAAGGC